GCAAGUCGAGCGCUACCUUCGGGUGGAGCGGCGGACGGGUUAGUAACGCGUGGGAACAUACCCUUCUCUAAGGAAUAGCCACUGGAAACGGUGAGUAAUACCUUAUACGCCCUUCGGGGGAAAGAUUUAUCGGUGAUGGAUUAGCCCGCGUCUGAUUAGAUAGUUGGUGGGGUAAUGGCCUACCAAGUCUACGAUCAGUAGCUGGUUUUAGAGGAUGAUC
rnacentral:rRNA from 1 species